rnacentral:rRNA from 1 species
UACGUAGGUGGCAAGCGUUGUCCGGAUUUAUUGGGUUUAAAGGGUGCGUAGGCGGUUCUGUAAGUCAGUGGUGAAAUACUCUAGCUUAACUAGAGGGGUGCCAAUGAUACUGCAGAACUUGAGUACAGAUGAGGUAGGCGGAAUUGACGGUGUAGCGGUGAAAUGCAUAGAUAUCGUCAAGAACACCGAUAGCGAAAGGCAGCUUACUGGGCUGUAACUGACGCUGAUGCACAAAAGCGUGGGGAGCA